rnacentral:lncRNA from 1 species
UACAGAUUGGGCUUUAUUAUUGAAUUCAAAAGUUAUAGAAAAUAAAAUUCUGAACCAGACCAGGCCCGAUUGGAAUUUUGACCUCAUCACCAAAACAAAACAGUAAAAAAAAUGAAUAGCUGAAACGCCAAUAACUACUCCUAUGAAAUCCUAAAAAGCAGCAUAACUGAACCUUCUGGAAGCCAUUAAUGCUGCUAUACAAUCUUUCCCAAUCAGCAUCAUAACUUUCAAUCGUCUUGUCCCUUCACCUGCCUUAUCUUCUUCAAGACGAAAUCAUACUCCCGAGGAAACCCCAUUUUCUGUCUUUGCUUUACCUGCCUCCGCUCGAUUUACCCAUUUCAUUUUCAUCCCUUUCAUUCAUUCCGGUUCUCCCACUCCAUCCCUUUUCUCUCUGAUCUUCUGCAUAUUCAGGGACUCCCUCAACUAGGUAUAUUAUUCUUUUAUCCCUCAGCAUUGCUUUUGCUAUCGUAUGCGCAAGACUGUUAACUGCUCUUGGAACAUGUUCAAAUCUGCAUUCCUGGAAUCUUGAUUGUAGCUUAUGAAUAUCACUGAUGUAGGCACAUACUUGUGAUUUAUCUGGGAUAUUAGAUCUGCAUUUCUUUAUUAUCGAUAAUGAAUCUCCUUCAAUAAUGAUUUUUCUCCAUUUCAUUUCUUUACCAAUUUUGAUCGCUUUCCGGCUCGCGAGCGCCUCGGCCGCAAAAGGAGAUGCCACCUGUUGAUAUAUCAUCAAGCAUGAGAGCAAAACCUUGCCUUCGUUGUUUCUAGCCACAAUCCCCACAGCCGAUUGCUUACUCUUUCCAUCAUAUGAUGCAUCAAAGUUUAUCUUCACAAUCUGAUCAGGUGGCUUCUUCCAUUUGCUUGUCAAUUUAUAUGAUUGUGCUCUACUUUUUCCUAUCCCGUCCAACUCUGUUAUGUAGCUACUAACGAAUCGGCCUAUUUCUUUUCCAGAUUUGCUCACUUUAUUAUGCACUCUGUUAUUUCUAUCCCCCCAUAUAGCCCAUAAUGCACAGCAAAAUAUCCUACACUAAGGGCACGUUUGGUUCGCUCUAUUGCAUUAGAGGUGUAUUGCAUUAGAGGUGUAAUGGAAUAGAGGUGUAAUAGCAAAUUAACUGUUUGGUUGAAUCUAAUGGAAUAGAGGCGUAAUAGUAAAACUGUGUUUGGUUGAAUGUAAUAGAGGUGUAAUAGCAUAAUGGAGAAAACUAAAAUGACCAGAAUACUCUUAGCAUAAAUUUGUUUUGGUAAAUGAUUAUUGUUAUUGUUAUUUAAAUUUUAAUAAGAUUAUUUAUUAUCAAAAAUAAAUAAUUUAAUCAUAUUUAAACAUAAUUAUUAUUAAAUAUAUUAAAUAUAUUAUAAUUAAAAUAUAUACUUUAAUAAAAUUCUUAAUAAUUAAUAUUCUUAUAUGAAUUUAUUCAAAUCAUAAUAUAUGAUACUAUAAAAGAUAAUUUGAAAUGAUUAAUAUUAAAUAUAUUUUAAUUAAAAUAUAUGAUUUAAUAAAAUUUAAAAUAAUUAUAAUUAAUAAAUUAUCUUAUAUGAAUUUGUAUAAUUUAAAAUAAUUAUUAUUACAUAUAAUUUAAUAAGAUAUAAUUUCAUAAAAUUAUUGAUAAUAAAUUUUCUUAUAUGAAUUUAUAUAAUUUAAAAUAAUUUAUAUAAUAAAUUUAUUGUAUAACUUUCUCAAAGAGGUUCUUUCAUUGUCGGGCAUGGGUGUUGAAAUCAAAUACUUUAAGAAAAAUGAAUACUCUGACAGGGGUAUAAAAAAGGGAUACUUCAAGCAAAAUGAAGAGUCGGAGAAACAUAGCUCUGUAUAUUCUCUCAGUUGCUAUAUUUUUUGGUUUUCUUACCUUAUUCUCUGAAUUUUCUUCCUCAAUGAGAUUCUUUUUUAUUUUUUGAUUUUAGCUUUGCCCCUAUGGCAUGAAUCUUGUGAUGAAUUAAAAAAUUAAAGAAAUAUAUAAAAAUGGGUAAAAUUCAAGCAGAUGCAUCGCCAUAUUUCAUCAUUGAUAUGUUGCAUUUUGGAUCAUAAUUCAAAUUCAACUACAAAUUAUAGGUUAAUGGGUUUGAAGCAGCACCAACAACUAUAGCCAUGGGAUUCGACAAAUUGGGAGCAGCAAGAAUUGCAGUAGUGGUGUUUGAUGGAACUGUAGUUCCUACAUUCAAACAAGUUUAGUCAGUUAAGUAUCUAGCAUUUCAAUAUGAUUCAACAAGCAUACAAUUCAAUGUUAUAAGAGGUAAAAGCAUAACAUUUGCCACUCUUAAGUCAUGUCAAUUGUCGGAAGGUAAAUGAGCAGAAUUGCUAAAAGCUGGUGACCUUUAAAGCCAUUAUCAAGCCCAAAAGAAUAGCAAAAUAAAAUAAUUCGUUGUACAUAUCAGAUAUAGAUUUUAAACAUUCGACCCCAGCCUCUCUCAAAACCUUCCCUCUUUUAUUUCGAUGAGGAAAUUACACAAAAAAGGGAAUGGAAAAAAGAAACAACGUAAAAUCCUAACAGCUAUAAUUCCUUAAAAGUUACACCAAGGAGUAUAACUGCACCGCAUCACAUGAUCAACCAGCACCGUUUCUAUUGAAGUUAAUAUAUUGAAAACGGAAAUAUAACUACACUGCACCACACGAUCACCCAGCAUCAUUUCUCUUGAAGUUAAUACAAUACUGUUUUCAACAAAGUUAUAAGCUAGUUAGGGGUCACCACUUCUAAACGCAUAAUAGUAGCAUAGGAGAUACAUGUUUAUGUUUGACCCGUUCUAAGCCAACACCCUUGACUUUGAAAAUUGGAGAAUCUCUAUGGUUCCUUUUCCUUUUCAAUGCCUGGCCCUUUGGCUAACUUGAGCUUUUCUCUUUAUCGUUUACCAUUUUAAUACAUUUUAUAUUUCUUUUCUCUUAAUACUCAUAUUUGGUUUGCCAUUUCCAAGAUUCACGACGGUAGUUAUACAAAGAUGAAUAGGCAUAUUCCUGGACAUAUAUGACAGUUUUAAGUAAAACUGCUUUGCUAUUUAUAGAUCAAUGAUUUAGGCUUGAUUUAUAAAUUACUCGGGCGCAUGCACAUCUCAUAAUCCUUUGUAUUCACCAGUGUGCAUCAAAGACCAUCUAAUAAGAUAAAUCCCAGAAUCAGCCAUAUGACCUCACCUAAGAAUGAAGAGCUCGAUCAGACAAACAAAACCUACGGAGCAUUUUAAUUGCUCUCAUUUCCCGUAUCACUUACAUGAAUAACAAUAGUUUUGGUUAAUUUCAUUUCCAAGUCAAAUUACAUCAGAUGUUCACUAGAAAGAAUCAGAAGAGUAAAUUUGUUAAUCACAUCAAAGCAGUGCUUGAAUAUUCAUACACAGAUGACCACAUAAUUCUCUAAAAAGGACUUCUUGAAAGCUUCUAUUGCAAUCUCGCUAAUGACCAAAGCAAAUAGAUAAGACUUUAAUUAAAACAAAGACAAGACUUUAAUUAAAACAAAGACAACAACCUAAAGUAGCAAAGGAAACUAAAAAACUAUUGGAAACAACCACACGAUUAUUGAGGCAAUGAGGUCUAAUUUUUUUACAGAAUCAUAUGCCUAUUUCAUGCAUAAAUGACUGCAUAAGUCUACGCAAAGGAUAUCUUUAGUUUCAAGUUCAAUACUGCUAAUGACCAAUGUAUAUGAACAAGUCAACACCAUAAUUAAACAAGAUGACAAAAUGAGAUACUCCAUCCAUUCGUGGCCCAAUGAAGUUGCUAAAAAAAAUAGAAUACCAUUGAAAAAAUCACAGGCAUAUAUUUUUACUCAAGCAAAAGCUUGUACCAUGAUGUUGCCUUGGAUCAUAAAUCACCAUCUGAGAUGUAUCUAGACGAAGGACUUUAAGAGAAGCAGUCGGAACACCUGAUGGUGCUGAUGUACUCUUAUCUGCACAAAUGAAAACAAAAAUUAGCCCAAUGAGUAUUAAUAGUAACCUGGAACAAGAAACGGUGUACCUGUCAUUGCAGAUCCAUUAGAGAGAGCUGACUUAUCCACCUUCUUACCAAUGUUUUUAGAGAGCCACUGAAGAGAAUAUCAAUGAGUUCAAAAAUUAGCAAAUGCAAUUUCAAUGAUUCAAACAUAGAGGUACAGAAGCAAUUUUAAGAGUUAUACUUACAGUUUUCAAAGGAAAAAGAAAUUACACAUAAACAAGUCCCAAAUUUUUUCAUAUCUAUUGCUGAGACAUGAGCAACAAAUUUGCGGUUUUAUGAAAGAACAAUAAAGCAUGUUCAAGCUUAAAGCAUCUAAAAAGUAGGUGUUAAUCAUGUUAUCCGGACAGGUUUCAAUAAUCUAGGGCAAGAAAAGAUCAUAACAUUUCAUUUUGACUCGAGGUUCCAAAGGCAGAUGUGCAUCCGGUACAAUCAGAAACUCUAAAAGAAGCCAAAUUAUGCAUCGGCCUUUGCAAUGACAUUACAAUGACCAUAACAAACACCAAGGUUAUGACUAAAAUAAAAGAAUAACAGCCCUAGUUGCUGAUACGUUAUAGAAAAAGUUGGAAAUGCUACAUGGUUAUCUUGACAUGGAAAUUUCCGACCUCAUUACAUCACUGAACUUUAAAAUUUCCCAUCAGUUGUAAACAUAGCAUAUUACUUUUAUUUACGACAUACUUCUCAAAUACAUCAGAUCAACCUAAAUAGUCAUCAAUUGUAUAACACUCACUGCCACCCUCAAGAUAUUGAUAGAUAUCUCUACAACUAUCUUUAUCAUGGAAGAUUAAGAAGAAGGCCCUUGUUGCAAGACCAAGUACCAAAUAAGGCUACACAGCUAUGGCUCAUUCUUCUGUGGACUUAUUUGGCUAAGAUACUUGCUAGAGGAACUUCAUUCUUCUUCUUAGGUUUGCACCUACACGAUGUGUGUGUAUGUGUUUAUCUUUGUCCCCUUCUAAAAUUUUCAAUACUACUCAAAACUGCUACCAAGCAUAAAGCCUCCAUUCUUUUGGCUACUAGCUUCAACAUAGAUGCCAAAAUGCUGCUUGCAAAAACAGGCAUAAACCAAAAUCAGGUAAUCAUCAAAAUCCCCACUUAAAGAGCAAAUCACCAUUCACAGACCAGGGCGGCACCAAACAUACAACUAAUACAGUUUUCUUAAUACUAUUAACCCUACAUCCAAUUUUUAAGAAGUCUUACUAACAAAUAUUUCUACCUUCUUGCACACAAAUAGUUAUUAGUACUAAGCCAAUGUUUAAUGAAUGUCCUAGUCAGACCCUCCUUCAGUCAUAAUCGAAAGUUGUACUGCUUAACCAUCCUCUCUAUUACCAAAAAUUACUACUCUUAGAGGGUAUUACCAAACAUAGUUCCUGUUCUAACUAAUAGUCUGCAUUAUGUCACAAGUUUUCUCCCUCAAGAUUUCUAAGAUUAACCCAGUUAAAUAUGCAAACCAACAACCUUAGUAAUUUUCCUUAUCAUGCAACUGAUUUCUCUUUUCCAUUUUCUGAUUGAAAUGUUCCAUUUAUGAGAAGUGUGAAAUCGAAAGAAAGAGAAGAAAGAGGGGCUGCUGCUGCUGCUGCUAGAAUUUCCAAUUUUGUGAAUAUAUUGAAGAGAAAAAGAGAGGGUUUUGGUGUGCGGAGUAGAUAGUGUUGGGAGGAAAUGGGGAAGGGAAAUUUGAUGCCGAGACGAGAAGAAACGAUGACGACAGAUUAAUCAACGGAAUCAGUGGGAAAUAGGAGGAGAAAAUGAUUAGGACGGAAGAGGAGAGGGUCGGGUAGGGAGGGAGGGUAAAACAGAGAGAUGGGGAGGGAGGCCGGGCGUAAUGGCUAAUACAACGAUUUGGGAACGGAUUGUAAAACACGGGAAUUUGGGGAUUAGGGGCGUAAUGUAAUACGCGCGUAAUGGCUAAUACAGCGAACCAAACGUCGGAUUAGGGGCGUAAUGUAAUACGCGCGUAAUCGGGGCGUAAUGGAUUGGGUAAUACGGCGAACCAAACACGCUGUAAGAUUCCGAGUUCUUUGCAAAAACUCCGGUAAGCCACUCUGCAAACUCCAACUGUCUUUCGUGCACCAAAACAUUACAUGGUAAUUCCUUCCAUACUGAUUUUGACACAGGGCAUUCGCAAAAAAGGUGAUUCAUACUCUCUGUUCCGACUCCACAUCGUGGGCACACUAUUGUGUUUAUUAGUUUUUUCUGAAGUAGAUUAAGCCGUGUAGCUAGGAAAUUCCACGAUAUCUUCCAAAUUGUAAUUUUGAUUUUUAAGGGAAGAUUCAAUAGCCAUAAUUUUUAGUAAAAUUCCUUGUAGCCUUCUUGUAAAGCAUAAGCUCUAGGAUCAUCCUCGAUAUUCUGUAAUAGUUUAUAGGAGCUACGAACUGUGAAUUUGCCCGAUGCCUCAGCACUCCAGACCCGGAAGUCAUCAUGAGGAUCCUCUGCCAGUGGAAUACCAAUAAUCUUCUCAGCUAAAUCCUCCGGAAAGGUAGAAAUUAUCAACUCUUCCUUCCAUGUUCUAUUAUUUUGAUUGAUUAGAUCGGCAACUUUACAAUAAUUCAAAUUUGUGACUAUAGCUGAUAAUCUGUUUCUUCCCACAUCGGGGAUCCAAUUGUCGCAACCAACUGUAAUUUGUUCUCCCCUUCCUACUCUUCAGCACAUACCUUCCCUUAAAAUACCCUUUGUAGCCCAAAUACUUUUCCACGUAUACAAAGCAUUGUUCCCCAAACAUGAGUCAAGGAAAUUAUUAUUCGAAAAUAUUUUACUUUUAAAACUUGAGCUAAUAAUGAAUCUGGAUAGUUCAAUAUUCUCCAACCCUGUUUAGCUAAUAAUGAGACGUUAAAUUUAGCUAUAUCUCUGAAUCUCAAACCCCUUUCUCUCCUUUUGACCGGCACAAGUAAGUCCAUUUACACCAAUGAAUUCCUCUUCUCCCAUGAGCUUUUUGCCACCAGAACUUAGCAAAAACGCCUUCUAUAUCUCUGCAAAAUGACUUCGGUAAUUAAAAACAAGACAUUGCAUAUGUUGGAAUAGCUUGUAGGACCGACUUCAAAAAUACUUCCUUGCCUCCUUGCGACAACAUUCUGGUGCUCCACUGUCGAUUCUACUGUAAAUUUUCUCUUUGUGAUAUUGAAAAGAUUCCUUUUUCCGUCUGCCCACCAUAUUCGGAAGUCCUAGAUAUCUUUCCAUAUUUGUUGAGGUUUUUAUCCCCAUAAUUGCCGCGACUUUGUUCUUUUUGUCUUCUGUAGUAUUAGUGCUGAAAAAGAUUGUAGAUUUGUUAAAAUUAACACAUUGACCGAAACUUUUACCAUAUUCUUUCAAAAUUUCUUUUAGCACCGUUGCCCCCUUCCUGUUGCUUCCCCAAACAAAAUACAAUAAUUUGCAAACAGUAGAUGUGUAAUUUCCGGGCCUCUCCUACUUUCCUUUGCUCCUUUUAACAACCUUUCCUUUGAUGCCAGUCUCAUCAAGGCUGAUAACCCAUCAUUGCACAUUAAAAAGAGAAAAGGGCUCAAAGGAUCUCCUUGUCGCAAUCCUCUUGUUGGCUUAAAACUUCGCCCAUAACCUCCAUUAGUAUUCACAACAUAGGACGUAGUAGAAAUGCAUUUCAUGACCAACUCUACCCAUUCUAUAUCAAAACCCAUAUAUAACAUGACUUCUUUUAAAUAACCUCAUUCAACCCUGUCAUAGGCUUUACUCAUAUCAAGCUUUAUGGCCAUAUAUCCUUUUUUCCCUCUUCGUUUUUGUCUAAAUGUAUGCAGAAUCUCAUAGGCAAGUAGCACAUUAUCUGUAAUUAGCCUUCUUGGGACGAACGCACUCUAAAAUGCAUCAAUACACCUUCCAAUACCGAUUUGAAGUCGAUUUGCAAUUGUUUUUGCCACCACUUUAUAAAGGACUGAACAUAAACUAAUAGGUCUGAAAUUGGCUAAGCUAGUAGGGUUAGAGAUUUUUGGAAUCAACACAAUCUCUGAUUGAAAGAACCAAAAUUUUCACCAUUAUUAAGAAUUCCUGGACAGAAAUCAACAAUUUCUUGCCAAAAUUUUUGAAAGAAGAUUGCUGGAAAACCAUCCCGACCUGGUACAUUUGUGGGGCCCAUUCCUUUCAAAGCCUCAUAAACUUCUUCUGCUGUAUAUUUCUUCAUCAAGGCUCUGUUAAUUUCUACUGGAAUCUUACUAUCAAUGCCUGUUAGAAGAUGAGAAGGAUAUACUACUUCACUUGAUGUAAAUAAAUUCUGAAAGUACCUGGUAGCCACUUCAUUAAUCUCACUAGCUUCAUUAGCCUCUCCCCAUCUUCCAGAUCUAACUUUGAAACUGUAUUGAUUUUCCUCCACAUUGUGGCGAAUCUAUGGAAAAAAGUCGUAUUUCGAUCUCCUACCUUAAGCCAAUUUACCCUUGCCCUUUGUUCCCAAUAGAGCUCAUCCUUCUCAAUCUCCAUGUUUAAAUGAAUUUUGGUAUCGAUUAUUUUUGCCAUGACUUCAUCACUCCUAUCCUGCUCUAUUAAUAUUUCAAGCUGCUUAGUAAGCUUUUUCUUCAAACCUUCUCUUCAUUCUUUUAUUGAAUUUGCCCAUAACUUUAAAUCAAUCUUUAAUCUUUCGAGCUUGUCAUAAACUGUGCCUACUCCUGACUCCCAGGAAUCUCUAACUACUUCCUCAAAUGUAUCCUCUAUGAUCCACCAUUCCUCAAAUUUAAACCUUACAUUGCCUUUAUGAGUGUCUCCACAUUUUGCAUUAACAAGAAUAGAACAAUGAUCAGACAUGGAAUGAGUUAAAUGCUUGAUAAUACCUGCUGGAAAUAAUUGCUUCCACUUGUUGUUUGCCACCCCCUUAUCAAGUCUCUCUCUAAUAUUCGUCUCCGAUGAAUUUCCCUUUUCCCAAGUAAACAAGGCCCCUGAAUAACCCAAAUCUUCAAGUAAACAAUCUCCUAAAGCCUCUCUAAACGCCUCCAUUCGACUCUCCUCCAUUGGUGCGCCCUCGUAUUUUUCAUAAGUAAAAAGUAUCUCAUUCAAAUCACAGCAUACCAGCCAGGGAUGCCUCUUAUCUUGUCCCAACUUUUUUAGCAAAUUCUAUGUAGCACUCUUAUCUUUUAGCAUAGGGCGAACCAUAAAACCCCGUGAAUCUCCAAUCAACUUUGACUUCUACAUCACCUUCUUUAAUCGUAGCAUCAAUAUGGUUCUUGGAAUAACUUUGUAAACAUACUUCAAUGUCUCCUUUCCAUAUCAAGCAUAAUCCUCCUCGCGAACCCUCAGCUUCAAUGUCAAUACCAUUGUUGAAACCACAUCUCAUUCUAACUUUUUCCAUGCGAUGUUUAUCUAACUUUGUCUCCAUUAAGAAGACCAUUGGGGGAUUGUGUUGCUUUAGAAGAAAGCAAAACCUCCUCACUGCCCAUGGACUCCCCAAUCCACGAACAUUUCAACUUAUUAUUUUCGUAGCGUCCGGUCGGCUUGCCAAUUGGCAGCCACCGAUCUUAGUAAAUGUUGUACCUCUGUUUGCUCUGAACACUCCAACGUCCCUUUUGAGCAGGCUCUUUCACAUUCCUCCACGUCAGCCAUUUUCUCUCUUUUACUUCCAUCUCUUUCAUCACUCCUCAGACUACCUUCUUCUGUAAACUUUCUCUUCCUCAUACUAUUAACAUCCGUUAAUUCUACCUCCAUAUCCAAUGUCUUUAUUCUUUUCCAACUUUUUCUCUUUUCUUGAUUAAUGUUUGUACACACUUGUGCUUUGCUACUAUCCAUCUUCACGACCUCCUCUGGCCCAAAUUUGCUUUCCUGCUUUUGCAGCAACUCUUUUCCUCCCAUCAGCUCCAUAUUUUCUUGGAUUUCCUUUAUCUAAUUCUUCCUUUCAUCAAGCAAUACUUUACCUCCUGCGUAUGAGCUCUGAACUCUCGCAUUCCUCCACAUAGCACUAAACUGCAAACUUUCUUUUCCAACUUGUUUUGAUUCUGCUUUUAAAGCCAUUGAAUAAGGUGGAUCACUACUUAUUUUGCCUUUUCUUACAGGUAUUAUUUGAGUACAAUCUGUAAGUUCAUGCCCCAUUCUUCCAUAGCCAAAACAAAAGGAACCCACAUUUUCUUAAUAUUAAUGCUUGAGACGAAAAUUCCUCGACAUAGUGGUUUCCGGAUAUCCAAACUAAUUCUGAGUCGGUAGCAAGUAUCGCAUAUUUCAGAUUUGAUAACCCCCCGAAUGUGACACCAAUUGCAUGCAUGAGAUCCUUCUUAUCAAACUCUGGUAAGUGCAAAUCAAUUUUUAUCCAGAACGGUGAAGAGGUCAUGCUAAUCUGAUCUCUUUCCAUCUCUUGGCUUAAUCUAUUGAAUAAAAUAAGACUCUUACGAAAAAGGCACGGUCUUCCCUCCAAAAUUGACUCCAAAUCUUCCUCCAAUUCAAAAACUAUUAAGAAUAGGUUUUGACCUACCCUCUGAAUCUCAAUUUUUCUAGGUCUUCCAAAUACUUCUCAGCUGUGCCCUAAAGCUUUCUGGGUUGUAGAGUUUUUCUGUCCAAACUGUGCAUAUCAACGUUGGUUUGGAAUUUGGUACCGCCUUCGACCCCUUAACCGUUAAUUGAAUGAGUUCAACUGCUAAAAGGGAGAUCUCAUCCCUUCCCUCUCUAUCCUCACCACCGCUUUCUUCCAUCCCAAGCCGCAGAAGAUACUGCUUUCUCUAGGACACUACGAAGCACACUUGGGAGCACAGAGAUAAUUAUUAUGUUAUUAAAAAAAUAAUAUAAUCAUACAAAAAUGUUAUGGAUGUGUUUUAUAAAAUAUGAAAAUGUAG